GGGGACUCAGCCCCGCAGAGACCUGGAGAAGAGCACCCGAGACUGCAAAGGCCCUGAGAUGGCUUUCCCGGAGCACACCAUCACACAGGGAGCUUCUGUCUGACUCCUAUCUGAAGCCCCAGCGCACAGGUUGGGGCCCGGCACAUAGGAUGGCUUCAGCAUAAGAUGGCCUGCAGGAUCAGGGUCAGCAAUGAGGAAAAAGUUACCAAUGAGCCUUGAGUGUCCUCCAAGGCUGAUUGCAGAAGAGGAUGUGGCUGGCUUGGAGAAGACUAGACUGCUCUCUGGGAGGAAGCUUGAUGCUGCCAGUAUCCCUCCAGCCCAGAAGGGAAGACCAGCUCUUACCACCACAGAGACCAGGGCUUGCAGAGGGAAUGCGAGCCGCUGCAAAGGGCUGAACCCUCCUCUUCCUGCCUUAGCCAGUCUCCUGAGCUUCCCAGGCCCUCACAUGGGGCCUGAGUGGGCACUCGCCAGGUGUUAGGUCUGACAAAGGUGUGAAUGAAUGAAGAAAUGAAUGAGUGAUGCUGUCCUACUGGUCCAGGAAGGAAAGGUGCUGGCGUCCCCUGGGUCUGGAAGACCUUCCCCUGCUCUUUGUAAGUUCCUCCUCAGCUGGUGUCCUGUGGUGUCCUGGCUGGAAGGAAUGAUGGCCAGGAGAUAUACAGACCAUAUGGGCGGGGGGCGGGGGCCCUGCCCUGCCUGUUCAUCCUUGUCCACUGCCCACAGGGACUGGAGAGGGGCCGCCCACGAUGGCUUUCACUCCACACCUCCAUAUGCUGGGAUGCGGGGGUUGGGGGGCUGGACUUUUAGAAAAAUCCUGAUACUUAUUGCUUUUUUUUUUUUUCCUGCUCUGAAACUUUUUCUGGUUACAAAAGUUUGCUGUGGAAAUUUUAGAAACAGCUGAGAACAAAUGUGCAGGCACAGAGAUGCACACACAAAAAUGCUCUGUGUCCCAUUACCCAGAGAUGACCAGCAUGAACAUUGUGGUGUUUGUCCUUCCAGAACUUCCAAGCACAGUCAUGUAUGUGUAUCUUUUUCAAAUACCUUUCUAGUAAAC
rnacentral:lncRNA from 1 species